AAAAAGGUUGGCAUAGCUGGGGGCGAACUGUAAAAAAAAAAAAAAAAAAAUGAUCCUCGAACCAGAAAAAAUUAUUGGGUUAAAAUCAAAAUCCCUUCUAUUAUAAAAUUGAUUUGUUCCUCCUUAAAAUUAGAUUUUUCUAAAAAAUAUUUUACAGCCACUAUGCCUUUUUCGUGUGGAAUAAUGCUAUAUAAAGAGCUAACAUCACAUGUAACUAAAGUAUAUCCAUCCUUCCACUGGGUAUGUUCUAAAAUCUGUAGCAUGUGUAUUGUGUCUUUUAAAUAAAAUGGGUUCUUUGUUACUAUUGGCUGUACUAAAACAUCUAUAUAUUCAGAUACUCUCGAUGACACUGAGUUAAUACCUGAUAUUAUUGGUCUGCCAGGAGGAUUGGUGAUGUCUUUAUGUAGUUUCGGCAAAUGGUAAAAUACUGGUAUCCGGGGGUUAUUCAUAUAUAGGUAUUUGGCUUCUUUUUUUCAUUUAAAAU